UAGAUACUCUCUCCGUCUCAAAAUUCUUGUCUUGGAUUUGUUUAAAUACGGAUGUAUCAAAUCAUGUUUUAGUAUUAGAUACAUCAGUAUCUAGACGAAUCUAAAACAAAAAAUUUGGGACGGAGGGAGUACUCA
rfam:Triticum aestivum genome assembly, contig: Triticum_aestivum_CS42_TGACv1_scaffold_569187_7AS